GCAACNNCUNGUUGCACUAAAAGGUUUUAGUGUAAAAUCAACUUUGUUGAAUAAAAAUCUGGNUAGGAUUUUGAUAAUGACAUUAUCUGUCCAUAAGUCUUGACCAAAUUACGUGCCAGCAGUCGCGGUAAUACGUAGAAGACAAGUGUUAUUCAUCUUUAAUAGGUUUAAAGGGUACUUAGACGGUAAAUCAAGCCUUAAAAAGGGACUAUUUUGCUAGAGUUUUAUGUGAAGAAGUAUUAAAGUACUGCUGGUGUAGAGAUGAAAUUCUGUCAUACCUUGAAUGGCACUGGUUAAGGCGAAAGCAUCUUUUUAUCUAAAAACUGACGUUGAAGGACGAAGGCUUUGUGUCUCGAACAGGAUUAGAUACCCUAGUAGUCUAAGCAGACAAUGAUGAAUGUCAUAGAUUAGAUGUAAUUUGAUCUAUAAAUGAAAGUGUAAGCAUUCCACCUCAAGAGUAAUUUGGCAACAUUGGAACUGAAAUCAUUAGACCGUUUCUGAAACCAGUAGUGAAGUAUGUUGUUUAAUUUGAUAAUCCGCAAAAAACCUUACCACUUUAAUAUGAAUAGAUAUAUUUUAUCAUACAAGCGUUGCACGGCUGUCUUCAGUUAAUGUCGUGAGACUUUGGUUAGUUCCAUAAAAUUAACGUAAACCCUUACUUUAUUUACUAAUAAAGUAGUUCACCGCUAUAUGGAUNAGAUAGCAGGAUC
rnacentral:rRNA from 1 species